AGCAGCCGCGGUAAUUCCAGCUCCAAUAGCGUAUAUUAAAGUUGCUGCAGUUAAAAAGCUCGUAGUUGAAUUUCGGGACCAAUAUUUCGGUCGUGCCUCGGUACGUACUGGCAUCGUUGGUUUCUCCCUUCUGACGAACCAUGAUGUCAUUUAUUUGGUGUCGUGGGGAAUCAGGACUGUUACUUUGAAAAAAUUAGAGUGUUUAAAGCAGGCUCACGCUUGAAUACAUUAGCAUGGAAUAAUGAAAUAGGACGUUUGAUUCUAUUUUGUUGGUUUCUAGGAUCGACGUAAUGAUUAAUAGGGAUAGUUGGGGGCAUUAGUAUUCAAUUGUCAGAGGUGAAAUUCUUGGAUUUAUUGAAGACUAACUACUGCGAAAGCAUUUGCCAAGGAUGUUUUCAUUAAUCAAGAACGAAGGUUAGGGGAUCGAAGACGAUCAGAUACCGUCGUAGUCUUAACCAUAAACUAUGCCGACUAGGGAUCGGAUGAUGUUAAUUUUUUAAUGACUCA
rnacentral:rRNA from 1 species